UAUACCGGAUAUUUUCUACGA
rnacentral:piRNA from 1 species